UCCGAGUUGACCCCGGCAGUCUCCUAUGAGUCCCCGACAUUACUCGCUGGCAACAUAGGACGAGGGUUGCGCUCGUUGCGGGACUUAACCCAACAUCUCACGACACGAGCUGACGACAACCAUGCACCACCUGUACAGGGCCCUUGCGGACCUCCCAUCUCUGAGAGAUUUCCCUGUAUGUCAAGCCUUGGUAAGGUUCUUCGCGUUGCGUCGAAUUAAGUCGAGAACCCUAAGGAAACUGUCGGUGAUAAACCGGAGGAAGGUGGGGAUGACGUGGGAGGAAUUCCA
rnacentral:misc_RNA from 1 species